rnacentral:rRNA from 1 species
AGAGUUUGAUCAUGGCUCAGAUUGAACGCUGGCGGCAGGCCUAACACAUGCAAGUCGAACGGUAACAGGAAGCAGCUUGCUGCUUCGCUGACGAGUGGCGGACGGGUGAGUAAUGUCUGGGAAACUGCCUGAUGGAGGGGGAUAACUACUGGAAACGGUGGCUAAUACCGCAUAACGUCGCAAGACCAAAGAGGGGGACCUUCGGGCCUCUUGCCAUCAGAUGUGCCCAGAUGGGAUUAGCUUGUUGGUGAGGUAACGGCUCACCAAGGCGACGAUCCCUAGCUGGUCUGAGAGGAUGACCAGCCACACUGGAACUGAGACACGGUCCAGACUCCUACGGGAGGCAGCAGUGGGGAAUAUUGCACAAUGGGCGCAAGCCUGAUGCAGCCAUGCCGCGUGUAUGAAGAAGGCCUUCGGGUUGUAAAGUACUUUCAGCGGGGAGGAAGGUGUUGUGGUUAAUAACCACAGCAAUUGACGUUACCCGCAGAAGAAGCACCGGCUAACUCCGUGCCAGCAGCCGCGGUAAUACGGAGGGUGCAAGCGUUAAUCGGAAUUACUGGGCGUAAAGCGCACGCAGGCGGUCUGUCAAGUCGGAUGUGAAAUCCCCGGGCUCAACCUGGGAACUGCAUUCGAAACUGGCAGGCUUGAGUCUUGUAGAGGGGGGUAGAAUUCCAGGUGUAGCGGUGAAAUGCGUAGAGAUCUGGAGGAAUACCGGUGGCGAAGGCGGCCCCCUGGACAAAGACUGACGCUCAGGUGCGAAAGCGUGGGGAGCAAACAGGAUUAGAUACCCUGGUAGUCCACGCCGUAAACGAUGUCUACUUGGAGGUUGUGCCCUUGAGGCGUGGCUUCCGGAGCUAACGCGUUAAGUAGACCGCCUGGGGAGUACGGCCGCAAGGUUAAAACUCAAAUGAAUUGACGGGGGCCCGCACAAGCGGUGGAGCAUGUGGUUUAAUUCGAUGCAACGCGAAGAACCUUACCUGGUCUUGACAUCCACGGAAGUUUUCAGAGAUGGAAUGGUGCCUUCGGGAACCGUGAGACAGGUGCUGCAUGGCUGUCGUCAGCUCGUGUUGUGAAAUGUUGGGUUAAGUCCCGCAACGAGCGCAACCCUUAUCCUUUGUUGCCAGCGGUCAGGCCGGGAACUCAAAGGAGACUGCCAGUGAUAAACUGGAGGAAGGUGGGGAUGACGUCAAGUCAUCAUGGCCCUUACGACCAGGGCUACACACGUGCUACAAUGGCGCAUACAAAGAGAAGCGACCUCGCGAGAGCAAGCGGACCUCAUAAAGUGCGUCGUAGUCCGGAUUGGAGUCUGCAACUCGACUCCAUGAAGUCGGAAUCGCUAGUAAUCGUGGAUCAGAAUGCCACGGUGAAUACGUUCCCGGGCCUUGUACACACCGCCCGUCACACCAUGGGAGUGGGUUGCAAAAGAAGUAGGUAGCUUAACCUUCGGGAGGGCGCUUACCACUUUGUGAUUCAUGACUGGGGUGAAGUCGUAACAAGGUAACCGUAGGGGAACCUGCGGUUG